rnacentral:rRNA from 1 species
GACGAACGCUGGCGGCAGGCCUAACACAUGCAAGUCGAGAGAGCGGCGGACGGGUGAGUAAUGUCUGGGAAACUGCCUGAUGGAGGGGGAUAACAACUGGAAAAGGUAGCUAAUACCGAAUAACAUCAGAUAUGACCAGAUGGGAUUAGCUAGUAGGUGGGGUAACGGCUCACCUAGGCGACGAUCCCUAGCUGGUCUGAGAGGAUGACCAGCCACACUGGAACUGAGACACGGUCCAGACUCCUACGGGAGGCAGCAGUGGGGAAUAUUGCACAAUGGGCGCAAGCCUGAUGCAGCCAUGCCGCGUGUGUGAAGAAGGCCUUCGGGUUGUAAAGCACUUUCAGCGGGGAGGCGUUACCCGCAGAAGAAGCACCGGCUAACUCCGUGCCAGCCGCCGCGGUAAUAC